rnacentral:sRNA from 19 species
CGCUAUACUAGCGACUGAAAUUACCGGCCCACAUCCUUCGGGCCGGUUUUCAAUGUGU